rnacentral:rRNA from 1 species
UACGUAGGUGGCGAGCGUUGUCCGGAUUUACUGGGCGUAAAGGGAGCGUAGGCGGACUUUUAAGUGAGAUGUGAAAUACUCGGGCUCAACUUGAGUGCUGCAUUUCAAACUGGAAGUCUAGAGUGCAGGAGAGGAGAAUGGAAUUCCUAGUGUAGCGGUGAAAUGCGUAGAGAUUAGGAAGAACACCAGUGGCGAAGGCGAUUCUCUGGACUGUAACUAACGCUGAGGCUCGAAAGCGUGGGGAGCAAAUAGG